UACGUAGGGUGCAAGCGUUGUCCGGAAUUAUUGGGCGUAAAGAGCUCGUAGGCGGUUUGUUGCGUCGGCUGUGAAAUCCCGAGGCUCAACCUCGGGUCUGCAGUCGAUACGAGCAAACUAGAGUGUUGCAGGGGAGACUGGAAUUCCUGGUGUAGCGGUGAAGUGCGCAGAUAUCAGGAGGAACACCGGUGGCGACGGCGGGUCUCUGGGCAACAACUGACGCUGAGGAGCGAAAGCGUGGGGAGCGAACAGG
rnacentral:rRNA from 1 species